rnacentral:rRNA from 1 species
CCGUUCCCAUACCGAACACGGAAGUUAAGCUUCUCAGCGCCGAUGGUAGUUGGGGGCUCUCCCCCUGUGAGAGUAGGACGCUGCCGGGC